AUAUUGGGCAAUGGGGGCAACCCUGAUCCAGCCAUGCCGCGUGUGUGAAGAAGGUCUUCGGAUUGUAAAGCACUUUAAGUUGGGAGGAAGGGCUUUAGGCUAAUACCCUGAAGUUUUGACGUUACCUACAGAACAAGCACCGGCUAACUCUGUGCCAGCAGCCGCGGUAAUACAUAGGGUGCAAGCGUUAAUCGGAAUUACUGGGGGUAAAGAGCGGGUAGGUGGUUCAGUAAGAAGGGUGUGAAAUACCCGGGCUUAACCUGGGAACUGCUUUCAUGACAGCUGGGCUAGAGUACGGUAGAGGGUAGUGGAAUUUCCUGUGUAGCGGUGAAAUGAGUAGAUAUAGGAAGGAACACCAGUGGCGAAGGCGACUACCUGGACUGAUACUGACACUGAGGUGCGAAAGCGUGGGGAGCAAACA
rnacentral:rRNA from 1 species